rnacentral:lncRNA from 1 species
ACUGCAAGCUCCGCCCCCGCGGGUUCACGCCAUUCUCCCGCCUCAGCCUCCGGAGCAGCUGGGAUUACAGGCGCCCGCCAUCACGCCCAGGUUCUCCUUCUCUCCUCUAUCCUGCCACUUUGUGAAGAAGGUGCUUGCUUCUCCUUCACCUUCCACCAUGAUUGUAAGUUUCCUGAGGCCUCCCCAGCCAUGUGGAACUAAAAAUAGAAUAUAAAAACUUCUCUACUCCUGACUCACCAACGCACCAGAACAACUUUUAGUCCUGCAAUCAUGACCAUCCUUCCUUCUCUAAUAUUCUGACCACAUGUAUCAGUAUUCAGAAAAAAGCAAGAGCUUCUUCUCGCAGGCGGGAUUGCCAUUGAAGAGGAUGUCAAGAAAGAUGAGUCACUGUUAGGAUUGAUUCAUGAUACUUUAUUGCCAAGCUGCAUUUGCUGAUAGAGUCAUCUAUAUCCUGGUAUCCAUGGAACACAGUGGAAGGGAAAUCUGUCCUUGUCAUUACCUGGCCACAGGCCUCUUUUAAAAGAUACUAGAAAAUUAAUUAGACUGCAAAUUCACCCAUAAAAUUAAAGUAAAAGCUACCUGGGCUCAGGGCUCUGAAAGAGGAUAACUUAUUUGGAUUAGAAAAUUUGUCAUGUUGAGCUCAAGUAGCAUUAAUUUGUUUAGAAGAGAUAAUGAUAUUUCAUUAUUAUUCCCAACCCUGAAGUUAGUCAAGAAAUAACUAAAAUAAAUACCUUGUAAAUACUGACUACACAUAAUACUUAUACUCUAUAGCAACAUGGCCACACUCAGUAAUCUUGACAAGUUUAGGAAAGCAUUUAAAUAAAAUAAAACUUGAGCCAGAUAAACUCUGGAAGAUCUUUAAAAUUAAAUAUAAUAGUUACUGGGUAAAGCGAAUGGAAAACUAGAUCAGAAAUAGAAAUUGUGCCUUACUCUUAUAAUUUCAACCAUGACAAUAUAAAUAAAUAGUAUGCUGUUAAAAAAUAAUUUGACCAUUGGGAGCAUUUAAGAUUUCUACAUGCUUUACCUAUUUUACAGAGAGAAUAAAUUUUUAAAGAAGGCAGAA